UGAGAAAACGAUUGAUUUGCAUUUAAUAUCCAUAUUAACUCUCCGCUCUAACGCCUUGUAAUUGCUAUAGCAAAAGUUGACUGUAGACAUGAAUUUCCAUUAAGAAUAUGGUGCAGUCCCGGGAGCAAGAAACUCCCGAAAAUUCUCUACAUCCUUCAUUUUGCACCGACAGCGUUAUGCCGUUCAGUGAACCUUUCCGGUUCCUGAUCAACGUUCGUGAGCUUGGAGAGGAAUAUAAUAAAACUUUAAAGGGUGUUCUGACUAUCCCGUGUACUUUACCCUGAGGAUAUAUGAAUGCAAGGUUGACGCUUUGGGUAGGGAAUGGUUGAUAAAAUUGUUUGCGGAAAGUCUGCAUCCGAAAAAGCAAUAGCAACUGCAAAUAAUAAACCGUUUGUAGCAAAACGGUACGGUAAGAGGAGAAAACCCAUUUCAAUAAACGAAACAAAUUGCGCAAACAAUAGUCGCAAAACCGAGCAUUGCAACCUCCACGUGUAAAAGCAACUGUUAACAAAUAAUUUCCACGAACUUCCGCAGACUGUGUUGCGGUUCCAAGAGAUUGGACCCGGUGCCCUGCCUUUGUCUGCAACCGUGUCUUUGAAAUACAUAAGAAAGUUAUUUACAUUUGCACCAGGCAACAACAAAUUACGGUCUUCUGGAUUUGCCAACGGCGUUUUGGUUUGGUUUCUUCUUUUACUAUUUUUCACAGCCCACGCUCCAUGGACGCAAGGACAUCUCUAUGGCAAGGACUGCUUGUUUUUCCUUAGUGUACUUAUUUGGAUCGUCUAGACGGGUGGUUUUACAAUUCCUCUCCUUGCUACACCCAGCAUAAGCCGCUCGGUUAGUGGGAACAAUCUUAAAAGUUGUCAGGAUCCUCUUUGGGAGCACAUAGAAAGAAUGACGAACAAAUAACAUCUAGAACACUCCAACAUGGUACCUUGUUCGAGAUGGUUGCGCAACAAAAACAAAAAAACAAGUCGUGUUAAGGAAAAUCUUUGCGGUUGCCAUUGGUGAUGACGCGAGGGAAAAGCUAUUGGGAAAAGAUCAAAGGAACUGGUUACACCAUUUAAUAAACGGUGCGAUUCAACACAUCACAUGCGCAUUAGAUGGUACUCCUUACUCGAUUCUGUAUAAUCAAAAGGUGAUACAGUGAAACAAAAUAAUCGCUUUUUCAUAUCGUAGUAUGGUUGUGUUAGGUGGAUUUAUCCCGACUUCUGCGCUUGAGGUUGCUGAAGCAGAUGGUUUGGUUUCUUUUUUGGUUCGGUCCAAUGCACUCCACCACCCAGACGAAGGAUGGUUUACUGAUAUACUGGUUGAAGGGUGGCAGGUUUGCCGUUGUUGUGUUUUACCUCGCUGGCGUUUCGCCUGUUUCGGGUCGUGUUGUGCAAUCGGUUUUCAAUGCUCUCGGAAAACAUACGAUGACCGUCGGCACUACGAUGUUUUGUGUUGAGCGAGUCGUGACCCAUUUCACCAGGACACCGACCAGACGAAACUUCAUUCGGGGUGGCGUAGAUCAGGGCUCAACGGACCGGAUCCGGAUCCUGUAAGUGUUCUUUGUUGUCUGGGACUACGCCGGUGGAUAACCGUGGAAUUUUGGCUUAUUUAUUUAACCUUUUUUUUUCGCGUACGCCCAUUUUUUCAUCAUUUCUCUUGCACGGUGACUAUAAUAACAGACACGUGGCGAUGUUUAUAGCUAGACCAAGGGACUGUGCGUACCUUACCACCCCGCGUGCUCCCUUAAUCGUAGUGUAGUUUGAAGAGGCUACAAAUAAAUUCAACCGACGUAUACCACUCAUCAAGUAUGUACUCAUUUUAUAUAAGUGUACGUGUGUGCAUCUUGACUUGCUAACAAGAAUAACACAACACCAGUAGACAGCGCCUCGCGACUAUCUGCCCAGUGAGAUGUUACGAACUUCAUCUCACACGAAAGGUUUUUUCCCCUGUUUUCUCACGAAGAGAUGCUGUGAGAGGGGACACAAUAUGUGAAAAUAAGACUCUCGCAAAAGAAUGCCGAUGAGUGAGAUUGUUUCAAAAAGCUUCAAUGACCUACUUUCUGCUUCACUCGCUUGCAUAUUAUCCCAGGAACACUACUAGCCGAUAUUGCUCGGAGUUUGAAUUCCAGCCCUCCGGGGACCUAUCUAGAAGGUUGAAAAAAUAAAAGCUUUCAACAAUUCGUUGCUUUUAUGGGCCGAUGAAGCAUUUUGUGUGGGGAAAAAAUCUUCCAACCGGUAUUUGGUUUUAUUACUUCCCACGGCUUUGUAAUGCACAAGACGAAAGGUCAAUGAACUAGGGAAUCCGUUUUUCAACCGUUACGUAAAAUGGUCUCUACAGUGUGAGCUCAUAAAAUCAAGGGUUAUUGCAUGGGCGGUAUCAAGAGCAGUGUUAUGUUGCUUUCGUCAUCGUUUUCAUUGACGUCACAGAUUGUGUGAGAGAAACUUAUGGAGCAUAUGACGUGCCGGAUGUUUUAA